ACGGAGGAUCCAAGCGUUAUCCGGAUUUAUUGGGUUUAAAGGGUGCGUAGGCGGCCUGUUAAGUCAGGGGUGAAAUUUUUCGGCUCAACCGGAAGCUUGCCCUUGAUACUGAUGGGCUUGAUUACACUUGAGGUAGGCGGAAUGUGACAAGUAGCGGUGAAAUGCAUAGAUAUGUCACAGAACACCAAUUGCGAAGGCAGCUUACUAAGGUGUCAAUGACGCUGAGGCACGAAAGCGUGGGGAUCAAACAGGAUUAGAUACCCUGGUAGUCCACGCCCUAAACGAUGAAUACUCGAUGUUAGCGAUAUACAGUUAGCGUCAAAGCGAAAGCGUUAAGUAUUCCACCUGGGGAGUACGCCCGCAAGGGUG
rnacentral:rRNA from 1 species